GAUCCCAUUUUAGUCCCUUCCACUCGCGCUCCCAUGAAUGGAGGGUUAUGCUAAUGGGAUAUAAAAAAACACUGUCAUGGUCUGAAGGUGUGGCGAGCUGAAUAUGCGCCCCUCUGAAUGAAAUGACAGGAUAAGGUUGA
rnacentral:snoRNA from 1 species